GGAAACGUGGAGGCGGCUUUCCGUGAGAAGGAGCAUCGUACGUCACGUGAGCAGGACAAAUGGCCGUCGGGCUUUAGACCGGAGUGCCAUGGAUCAUGUGCAAGCAGCCCGACGCGACGCUCCUGAUCCCGUGGAAUUCGUACCAUACCGGUUACUUAUCUAAGGGACCAAACUCACCCAAUAAACUGAAAAUGUGGACUGAGGAUUGGACAUCCUACUUUCAGGUCUAUGGAGCAGAGCCUUAUAUUAUUAGUCUGCUGAGGAUAUUGCCUUCCAUGCAGCUCUUUUUGUCCCAAAAAAAUGAAAGUUAC